rnacentral:rRNA from 1 species
AUACAUGCAGUCGACGGACAAGUAAGAGCUUGCUCUUAUGAGUUAGUGGCGCACGGGUGANUAANGUAUAGCUAAUCUGCCCUACACUAGAGGACAACAGUUGGAAACGACUGCUAAUACUCUAUACUCCUCUUUAACAUAAGUUAGAUAGGGAAAGUUUUUCGGUGUAGGAUGAGGCUAUAUUGUAUCAGCUAGUUGGUGAGGUAAUGGCUCACCAAGGCUAUGACGCAUAACUGGUCUGAGAGGAUGAUCAGUCACACUGGAACUGAGACACGGUCCAGACUCCUACGGGAGGCAGCAGUAGGGAAUAUUGCUCAAUGGGGGAAACCCUGAAGCAGCAACGCCGCGUGGAGGAUGACACUUUUCGGAGCGUAAACUCCUUUUGUUAGGGAAGAAUAAUGACGGUACCUAACGAAUAAGCACCGGCUAUCUCCGUGCCAGCAGCCGCGGUAAUACGGAGGGUGCAAGCGUUACUCGGAAUCACUGGGCGUAAAGGACGCGUAGGCGGAUUAUCAAGUCUCUUGUGAAAUCCUAUGGCUUAACCAUAGAACUGCUUGGGAAACUGAUAAUCUAGAGUGAGGGAGAGGCAGAUGGAAUUGGUGGUGUAGGGGUAAAAUCCGUAGAGAUCACCAGGAAUACCCAUUGCGAAGGCGAUCUGCUGGAACUCAACUGACGCUAAUGCGUGAAAGCGUGGGGAGCAAACAGGAUUAGAUAC